ACUUGUAGCAAACAUCCGUCCAUGUAAACAUUCGCAUAAAUUUAAAAAGAACCAUGCGCCAUCAAAUCCGUUAAAUAAAAUCCUAGUGGCAGUCAGAGAGUAUGGCAGCUUGUUUGAAGUACCUCCUGAUGUUCUCAUUCAGUGUGGCAUCAAUAAAAAAAAUUGUGAACCCUUUCUGUUUUGGGUUGUCGGGUGUGAAACAAGUAUAAGGCAGUAGAAAACAUAAUCAAUGGAUUCACAGAAAUAGAAUUUGAAUAAAGAUAAAAUUUUACAUUCUAUUCAUAUUUAAAAGAACUAAGUGUUGAACUAGAACUUAUGACCUUUUGCCGAUUGCUGAAAAGUAAAUUUACAACAAAAAUUGAUGAAAAUAACAUAAAAAUCAAACUGUAAAUUGGUCAUGUCAUGACAAGUUUUUCAAACU